rnacentral:rRNA from 1 species
AGCGGGCACUUCGGUGCUAGUGGCAGACGGGUGAGUAACACGUGGGAACGUACCUUUCGGUUCGGAAUAAUCCAGGGAAACUUGGACUAAUACCGGAUACGCCCUUCGGGGGAAAGAUUUAUCGCCGAUUGAUCGGCCCGCGUCUGAUUAGCUAGUUGGUGAGGUAAUGGCUCACCAAGGCGACGAUCAGUAGCUGGUCUGAGAGGAUGAUCAGCCACAUUGGGACUGAGACACGGCCCCUCUCCUACGGGAGGCAGCGUGGGGAAUAUUGGACAAUGGGCGCAAGCCUGAUCCAGCCAUGCCGCGUGAGUGAUGAAGGCCUUAGGGUUGUAAAGCUCUUUUGUCCGGGAAGAUAAUGACUGUACCGGAAGAAUAAGCCCCGGCUAACUUCCUGCCAGCAGCCGCGGUAAUACGGGGGGGCUAGCGUUGCUCGGAAUCACUGGGCGUAAAGGGCGCGUAGGCGGACUCUUAAGUCGGGGGUGAAAGCCCAGGGCUCAACCCUGGAAUAGCCUUCAAUACUGAUAGUCUUGAGUUCAGAAGAGGUUGGUGGAAUUGCGAGUGUAGAGGUGAAAUUCGUAGAUAUUCGCAAGAACACCAGUG